UGCUACUUUUACCACUUUUGCUCUUAGUGAUGAGGAGCUGGAUUCCAGCAAGACCAGAUCACUGGAGUUGUGACAGAUGCCAAUGAGAAGCAUCCUGGGGCACGCUAACAGAGACCUUGGAUGCUCUGAGACUCUCACAUGCCAAUCAAAACAAAUUCUUAAUAAACAAAGAAAUCUUCUCUUUGAAAUCUAAAGAGAAUACUGCUGAAGAACAACAGAGCGAGCUGUUUGUGAAUAGCAGAAAAACAACUGUUUGUUCAUCCUUAGUAAUGUGAAGUCAAGCAGCUUUCUGCAUCAUUCCCACUCCAGGACUUGCCUCUGUGAAAGCUAUAGCAGGGCUUCAAAGAACAAUUGCUUCAGUUUUCACUCCUUCUAAGGCCUGGGGACGUUCCACUUCUGAUCACAGUACAGCUUUAUAAAUCUUGAGUAACAGAGACAGUAGGCUGAGAGCAAGAAUAGGUUUAGUUUUCCUUUGGAAAAUUUGGUUUUGCUGUGAAGGCUCAACUUUUGAAACACAAAAGCAAAAGUGGUGAUUUAGGUUUCCAGAUAGUGUGAGAGUACCCACAGUGUCUUCAAAAACUAUUGAUAAAUGACGAACCCUUCCCACUGGGCAUGAAGGAGCUAGAGGAAUGAU